ensembl:snRNA U6 U6 spliceosomal RNA
GCUCUAUAGUGAUUUCUGUGUCUAGUUCUCCAAGAAAGUAACUAGUGCAUAUACUAAAACUGGAAUGAUACAGAGAAGAUUACCAUGGCCCCUGCGCAAGGAUGACAUGCAAAUUCCUGAACCUAGGAAAGGAAGA